UGACAAACAGUGUCAGGAUCGUCGUGGUGUCCAGUCUGGCCAGUGUCACUCUUUGACUGGCUCCUGGCACAUAUUUACUGUAUGAGCAGUAGACCUGUGCGAUGGAAAUGCGUGUGUGUGUGUGUGUGUGUGUGUGUGUGUGUGUGUGUGUGUGUGUGUGUGUGUGUGUGUGUCAUAAACUUGGAGGAUCACGAGCAGUGUGUUGGAUGCCCUGUUUUUGCUGAGCCAAAAUCAGUCCAGGUCUCCAGUGUUCAGGCCGGUGUCAGUCGUCUCUGUCCCGGGGUCAGAGGUCGUGUCCAGUGUUCAGGCCGGUGUCAGUCGUCUCUGUCCUGAGGUCAGAUGUCGUCUCCAGGCCGGUGUCAGUCGUCUCUGUCCCGGGGUCAGAUGUCGUCUCCAGGCCGGUGUCAGUCGUCUCUGUCCCGGGGUCAGAGGUCGUCUCCAGGCCGGUGUCAGUCGACUCUGUCCCGGGGUCAGAGGUGGUGUCCAGUCUGGCGGGCCGGCCGGUGUCAGUCUCUGACAGGCUCCUGGCAUAUGCGUGAGUGUGUGGCGUGUCUCUGCGCUCCCCUGCUGGCCUGUGGCCACCCCCCCGGCACAAGAGCCAUUGUUAGAGGGAGCACACCAGCUGCUGGGACUCACGGCCAUGGGGUUGUUCUCCCUCUGUCUUUCUUUCACUCUCUCUCUUUCUCUCUCUCCCUCUCUCCCUCUCCCUCUCCC
ensembl:lncRNA